rnacentral:rRNA from 1 species
AAAGGAAUAGACGGGACCCCGCACAAGCGGUGGAGCAUGUGGUUUAAUUCGACGCAACGCGAAGAACCUUACCAGGUCUUGACAUCCUGCGCAAGGCCCUAGAGAUAGGGAGAUAGUUAUGGCAGAGACAGGUGGUGCAUGGUUGUCGUCAGCUCGUGUCGUGAGAUGUUUGGUUAAGUCCAGCAACGAGCGCAACCCUUGUCCUUAGUUGCCAUCAUUCAGUUGGGGACUCUAAGGAGACUGCCGAUGCAAAUCGGAGGAAGGUGGGGAUGACGUCAAAUCAUCAUGCCCUUUAUGACCUGGGCUACACACGUGCUACAAUGGCCGGUACAAAGAGAAGCAAACCCGCGAGGGGAAGCAAACCUCAAAAAGCCGGUCCCAGUUCGGAUUGAAGUCUGCAACUCGACUUCAUGAAGUCGGAAUCGCUAGUAAUCGCGAAUCAGCAACGUCGCGGUGAAUACGUUCCCGGGGUUUGUACACACCGCCCGU